AUCUGAACAAAGCACCCCAAUGCAGAUAACAACAUCAUCCUUACCUACAACAAGUACAGCUCAAUCUACAACCCUGGUUACAAAAAACUCGCCUACAACUACAUCGCAGGUUACAACUUCAGCCCCUCCUACAGAAACAACAACACAACUUACAUCUUCUGCUGAACCAACAACCACAACUGUUUUAUCAUCUACAAAUGAACCAACAACCACAACUGAUUCAUCAUAUACAACUGUACUAACAACCACAACUGCUUCAACAUCUACAACUGAACAAUCAACUACAUCUGAACACAGCACCACAAUGCAGGCGGCAACAACAUCCCUAUCUACAACAAGUACAGCUCAAUCUACAACUGAGAUUACAACAAACUCACCUACAACUGCAACUCUUCUUUCAACUCCAGGCCCUCCAACAGAGACAACGCAACUUACAUCUACUUCUGAACCAACAACCACAACUGCUUCAACAUCUAAAACUGAACAGUCAACUACAUCUGAACAAAGCACAACAACAGAGACAGCAACAACAUCACUACCACCUACCACAAGUUCAGCACAAUCGACAACUGAGGUUACAACAAACUCACCUACAACUGCAACUCUUCUUACAACUCCAGGCCCUCCAGCAGAGACAACGCAACUUACAUCUACUGCUGAACCAACAACCACAACUGCUUCAUCAUCUACAAAUGAACUAAUAACCACAACUGCUUCAUCAUCUACAACUGAACAAUCAACUACAUCUGAAAAAAGCACCACAAUGCAGACAGUAAAAACAUCCCUACCUACAAGUACAGCUCAAUCUACAACUGAGGUAACAACAAACUCACCUACAACUGCAUCUCUGCUUACAACUACAGCCCCUCCUAUAGAAACAACAACAACACAAUUUACAUCUGCGGUUGAACCAACAACCACAACUGUUUUAACAUCUACAACUCAACCAACAACCACAACUCCGUCAACGUCUACAACUGAACAAUCAACUACAUCUGAACAAAGCACCACAAUGCAGACAGCAACAACUUCUCAACCUACAACAAAUACAGCUCAAUCUACAACCCUGGUUACAACAAACUCAGCUAUACCUACAUCUCAGGUUACAACUACAGCCCCUUCAACAGAAACAACAGAAACACAACUUACAUCUACGGCUGAACCAACAACCACGACUUUUUCAACAUCUACAACGGAACCAAUAACCACAACUGUUUUAAUAUCUACAACAGAAACACAACUUACAUCUACGGCUGAACCAACAACCACAACUGUUUUAAAAUCUACAACUGAACCAACAACAACAACUGUUUUAACAUCUACAACUGAACAAUCAACAACACCUGAACAAAGCACCACAAUGCAGACAACAACAACAUCCUUACCUACAAAAAAUACACCUCAAUCUACAACCGUGGUUACAGCAAACUCACUUACAAGUACAUCUCAGUUUACAACCACAGCCCCUCCUACAGAAACAACAACACAACUUACAUCUAUGGCUGAACCAACAACGACAACUGUUUUAACAUCUACAACAGAACAAUCAACUACAUCUGAACAAAGCACCACAAUGCAGUCAACAACAACAUCCCUACCUACAACAAGUACAGCUCAAUCCACAACUGAGGUUACAACAAACUCACC
ensembl:lncRNA